GCGUGCACAUCCUGAACUACUUUGUAUUGAUGCACUGAACAUCUCACAUGUGCAGGAUGGUCUUCGGAUUUAUGUACGAGGUCAGGAAGUGGUAAACUUAUCUCAAGUGAAAUGUGCCUCUGCAGUAGCUGCAGUUUGAGAUGAUAUCUGAGAUCUCAAGUGAUGAACAUGCCAAGCCUAAUGGACAGACUGCUGAUGUGUUACUGUUUCACAUGUGUCAGUGUCUAUGGACUAGGACCUGGAACUCAUCAUUCCACCUCUCCGAGCUUUAACGAUUCUUCUAUCGGUGGUGAUGUUGUCAUACAUUCAGCCUUCAACGAGGGGAGUGACGUAAACUUGACAUGCAGCAAUAAGACGUGGAAUGAGACACUAUAUGUUAUCUGGACAAUACAGUUGAAAUACAGAAAUGAAUGCAAGAUAUCCUUAGAUGAUGGAGGGCGAAGAGUAGACACAUGCAAAGAUGGCAAGUCACUCUAUACAUCCAGCACUCAGUCAUACUUGCACAUCCCAAACUUGACCAAUGGCGACGAAGGGGUCUACAAAUGUGAGUCGGUUUAUGAAGGAGGAAUCGAUCGUUAUGAGAUCAACGUGGCCAUCACAGUUCCUCCCAGAAUAUCAGCCUGGUUAGAGAAAGAGGACAACAAGAUGGUGGCAAUGUGCAAAGCUGAAAGAGGAAAACCUGCUGCCAACAUCUUCUGGAGCCAUGAGGGAAACUUAUCGGAUGUGAAAACAUCGUCUGACAAAGAUGGAUUUUUUACAGUAGAGAGUCGUCUGGAGAUCUCAGAAGGAACGAACACAGAAAACCUGAACUGUGCUGUCAGCCACCCGUACUGGAGAGAGGAUAAGAUUUUAGAACCAAAACUCACAAAAGGUUAUUUUUGGCCACGUAUCCUUACUGUUGUGUCAAUCCUGGUGAUUUUGGCAGGAUUUUUACUUUUGUACAAGCGAAAAUAAUGUUGAGGAAUCGCUCUGCCAUCUACCGGUGGACAGCAGAACAUCGUCCACCAUCGUGAUCAUGCACUGCUUUUAAAAUUGUAGGCUGCUGCUACUAUAAUUAGCUUGACCCUCACGCUGAAUAUUUAGUUGAACUGAAAAAAGGAAACUACACAAAUGUAUUUCUGUCCAGAGAACAUGGCACAUUUGAACUCUUUUAAUUUUGCACAGUGGUGGAGGAAGUAUUCAGAUUCUUUACUUCUGGGAAAAUGCUGUAACCAGACUGUAAAAAUACUCUGUUACAUGUCUGCUUUGAAAACGUUACUCAAGUAAAUGUCUGUGAAUGUUAUCAGUAUUUAAAGUAAAAGUGC
rnacentral:lncRNA from 1 species